GAGAGCGCGUGAGAGAGAGAGAGAGAGAGAGCGCAAAGCCGUCCCAGGCUUCCUCGUCUCUUUCACGUCAGAGGCAGGAACCGACUGUACUAAGGCUGUUGGCUCAGCACGCAGGGACGGAGAAAGGCGCAGACACAGAGUGAGAGAAGAGGGGUCCUCCCUGACCCAAGGAAUUACCACUAGUGGAGUAAAGCCACCUGACUUUUCGAGCUUAUUUUUGUUGCCUCCGCUUUCUCCUUCCACUCUAGCCCUGCCAGCUUGGGUUUCAUUUCUUUCGUGGAGCCUCCUCUCAUCCUCCCAGGAAAGGAGGAAGGGAAGAGAAGAGAGAGAGGUGGGCUCUCUAGGUGAGCGCAUCAGCUGGCUCCAGCCCGCAAAGACAAGAAUUCUCUACACAGGAAGCUCCUCUAGCUCCCGUGCCACCCACCCCCAGCCCGGGUGGCCAUAUCACCGUGACUGCAGAGACCAGUUCUCUUUUGGUGUUAGGAUAAAAGAACGUGCGGAAAAGAGAAAACAUCGAAGACAGCAUCGCUAAAGGCCGGUCUUGAACCCAGCGCUCUGCUGAGAGGAUGGGGGCAGACGGGGAAACAGUGGUCUUGAAGAACAUGCUCAUUGGAGUCAACCUGAUCCUUCUGGGCUCCAUGCUCAAGCCCUCGGAGUGUCAGCUGGAGGUCACUACGGAAAGGGUCCAGAGACAGGCGGUGGAGGAGGAAGGAGGCGCUGACGGCUACAAUACAUCCGGCAAAGAGCAGCCGGUGGUCUUCAACCACGUGUACAACAUUAACGUGCCCCUGGACAGCCUCUGCUCCUCGGGGCUGGAGGCCUCGGCCGAGCAGGAGGUGAGUGCCGAAGACGAGGUGCUGACAGAGUACACGGGCCAGACCUUGGACCACGCGAGCCACGUCACCUUCACCCACAGGAUCAACCUCCCCAAAAAGGCCUGCCCAUGCGCCAGCUCUGCCCAGGUGCUGCAGGAGCUGCUGAGCCGCAUCGAGAUGCUGGAGAGGGAGGUGUCAGUGCUUCGGGACCAGUGCACCAGCAGCUGCUGCCAGGAAAGUGCAGCCACAGGACAACUGGAUUAUAUCCCUCACUGCAGUGGCCACGGCAACUUUAGCCUCGAGUCCUGCGGCUGCAUCUGCGAUCAAGGCUGGUUUGGCAAGAACUGCUCGGAGCCCUACUGCCCCCUAGGCUGCUCCAGUCGGGGCGUGUGUGUGGAUGGCCAGUGCAUCUGUGACAGCGAGUACAGCGGCGACGACUGCUCAGAGCUCCGGUGCCCGACAGACUGCAGCUCCCGGGGGCUGUGCGUGGACGGGGAGUGUGUCUGUGAAGAGGCCUACACUGGCGAGGGCUGCAGCGAGCUGAGGUGCCCUGGGGACUGUUCAGGGAAGGGGAGAUGUACCAACGGUACCUGCCUGUGCCAGGAGGGCUACGCUGGUGAGGACUGCGGCCAGCAGUGGUGUCUGAACGCCUGCAGUGGGCGAGGACACUGCCAGGAGGGGAUCUGCUUCUGUGAAGAGGGCUACCAGGGCCCUGACUGCUCGGCAGUUGCCCCUCCAGAGGACUUGCGAGUGGCUGGUAUCAGCGACAGGUCCAUUGAGCUGGAAUGGGACGGGCCGAUGGCAGUGACGGAAUAUGUGAUCUCUUACCAGCCGAUGGCCCUGGGGGGCCUCCAGCUCCAGCAGCGGGUGCCUGGAGAUUGGAGUGGUGUCACCAUCUCGGAGCUGGAGCCAGGUCUCACCUACAACAUCAGCGUCUACGCUGUCAUUAGCAACAUCCUCAGCCUUCCCAUCACGGCCAAGGUGGCCACCCAUCUCUCCACUCCUCAAGGGCUACGAUUCAAGACAAUCACAGAGACCACCGUGGAGGUGCAGUGGGAGCCCUUCUCGUUCUCCUUCGAUGGGUGGGAGAUCAGCUUCAUUCCAAAGAACAAUGAAGGAGGGGUGAUUGCCCAGCUCCCCAGUGAUGUUACAUCCUUCAAUCAGACGGGAUUAAAGCCUGGGGAGGAAUAUACUGUCAAUGUGGUGGCUCUGAAAGAGCAAGCCCGGAGCCCCCCUACCUCGGCCAGCGUCUCCACUGUCAUUGAUGGGCCCACGCACAUCCUGGUUCGAGAUGUCUCCGACACUGUAGCCUUCGUGGAGUGGACCCCACCUCGAGCCAAAGUCGAUUUCAUUCUCUUGAAGUACGGCUUGGUGGGCGGGGAAGGCGGGAAGACCACCUUCCGACUGCAGCCUCCCCUGAGCCAGUACUCGGUACAGGCCCUGCGGCCCGGCUCCCAAUACGAGGUGUGGGUCAGCGCAGUCCGUGGAACCAACGAGAGCGAGUCCACCACCACCCAGUUCAUAACAGAGAUUGACGCCCCCAAGAACCUGCGGCUUGGUUCCCGCACAGCAACCAGCCUUGACCUUGAGUGGGACAACAGUGAAGCAGAGGUUCAGGAGUACAAGAUUGUGUACAGCACCUUGGCAGGCGAGCAGUACCAUGAGCUGUUGGUCCCCAAGAGCAUCGGUCCAACCACCAGAGCCACGCUCACAGAUCUGGUGCCUGGCACUGAGUAUGGAAUUGGAAUAUCCGCCAUCAUGAACUCACAGCAAAGCGUACCAGCCACCAUGAAUGCCAGGACUGAACUGGACAGUCCUCGAGACCUCAUGGUGACAGCCUCCUCAGAAACCUCCAUCUCCCUCAUCUGGACCAAGGCCAGCGGCCCCAUUGACCACUACCGAAUCACAUUCACCCCAUCAUCUGGGAUCGCCUCCGAAGUCACUGUGCCCAAGGACAGGACCUCGUACACACUGACAGAUCUAGAGCCCGGGGCAGAGUACAUCAUUUCAAUCACAGCUGAGAGGGGUCGGCAGCAGAGCUUGGAGUCCACGGUGGAUGCCUUCACAGGCUUCCGCCCCAUCUCCCAUUUGCACUUUUCUCACGUGACCUCCUCCAGUGUGAACAUCACCUGGAGUGACCCAUCCCCUCCAGCAGACAGACUCAUUCUGAACUACAGCCCCCGGGAUGAAGAGGAAGAGACGAUGGAGGUCUCUCUGGAUGCCACCAAGAGGCAUGCUGUCCUGAUGGGCCUGCAGCCAGCCACCGAGUACAUUGUGAACUUGGUGGCAGUCCACGGCACAGUGACCUCUGAGCCCAUCAUGGGCUCCAUCACCACAGGAAUUGAUCCCCCCAAAGACAUCACAAUCAGCAAUGUGACCAAGGACUCAGUUAUGGUCUCCUGGAGCCCUCCUGUUGCGUCUUUUGAUUACUACCGAGUAUCAUAUCGGCCAACACAAGUGGGACGACUGGACAGCUCGGUGGUGCCCAACACAGUGACAGAAUUCACCAUCAGCAAGCUGUACCCAGCUACCGAAUAUGAAAUCAGCCUCAACAGCGUGCGGGGCAGGGAGGAGAGUGAGCGGAUCUGCACUCUUGUGCACACAGCCAUGGACAAUCCUGUGGAUCUGACUGCUACCAACAUCACUCCAACAGAAGCUCUGCUGCAGUGGAAGGCACCAGUGAGUGAAGUGGAGAACUACGUCAUUGUUCUCACACACUUUGCAGUUGCUGGAGAGACCAUCCUGGUUGAUGGAGACCGUGAGGAAUUCCAGCUUGUUGACCUGCUUCCUAGGACCCACUAUACCGUCACUAUGUAUGCCGCCAGUGGGCCUCUCACCAGUGGCACGAUCAGCACCAACUUCUCUACCCUCCUGGACGCCCCUGCCAAUCUGACAGCAAGUGAAGUCACCAGACAAAGUGCCCUGAUCUCCUGGCAGCCUCCCAGAGCAGAGACUGAGAAUUACAUCUUGACCUACAAAUCCACCGAUGGAAGCCGCAAGGAGCUGAUUGUGGAUGCGGAGGACACGUGGAUCCGACUGGAGGGCCUGUCUGAGAGCACAGACUACACGGUGCUCCUGCAGGCAGCCCAGGACACCGAGCGGAGCAGCAUCACCUCCACCGCCUUCACCACAGGGGGCCGGGUCUUCCCUCAUCCUCAAGACUGUGCCCAGCAUUUGAUGAACGGAGACACUCUGAGCGGGGUUUACACCAUCUUCCUCAAUGGAGAGCUAAGCCGGAAGUUACAGGUGUACUGCGAUAUGACGACCGACGGGGGUGGCUGGAUUGUAUUCCAGAGGCGGCAGAAUGGCCAAACUGAUUUUUUCCGGAAAUGGGCUGAGUACCGCGUUGGCUUCGGGAACCUGGAGGAUGAGUUUUGGCUGGGGCUGGACAACAUACACGGGAUCACGUCCCAGGGCCGCUACGAGCUGCGCAUAGACAUGCGUGACGGCCAGGAUGCCGCCUUCGCCUACUACGACAAGUUCUCUGUCGAGGGCAGCAGAAGCCUGUACAAACUCCGCAUAGGAGGCUACAACGGCACCGCAGGGGACUCCCUCAGCUAUCAUCAGGGCCGCCCUUUCUCCACAGAGGACAGAGACAAUGAUGUUGCAGUUACCAACUGUGCCAUGUCAUACAAGGGGGCUUGGUGGUAUAAGAACUGCCACCGGACCAACCUCAAUGGGAAAUACGGGGAGUCCAGGCACAGCCAGGUGGGUGAAGCUCUGCCGCUGCAUGAAUGACCCAGAGCCGUGCAGCCCACGUCCCUUGGCUUUAUGUUCUAAGUACACAGGGGAUCAACUGGUACCAUUGGAAAGGCCAUGAGUUCUCCAUCCCCUUCGUGGAAAUGAAGAUGCGCCCCUACAGCCACCGUCUCGUGGCGGGGAGGAAACGGCGGUCCUUGCAGUUCUAAGCAGUGGGCGGCUGCGAGCCAACUGAC